ACAAUGGUCUUGUAAGCCAUAAAAGAAAACUAUUUUCUAAGGGUAU
rnacentral:tRNA from 1 species